AUGUGUACCUGCUAUAUAUAGCACAUUAUUAUAUUGAAUAUUGUACCCUCUUUUGAUAUACAGUAUCUUUCUUUUACUUUCUGCAUUUCAACUUCACAUUCAUAUACGUAAAUAGAGUUGUGUGUGUGAGAGGCUUGGGGCCUGAACCAACACACAACACACAACCCCGAUUCAUCAAGGUUGGUUCCAGACCAUGAGCCGCUUGCUUGGUGCACACAACCCUUUCCAAUCUCAUCGCCUUGACCAUCGGUAAGAACCACAAAUUGCCCUGGCUCAUGCCUGACUGAAUGAGUCUGUUGGCCAGCAGAUGGGGUUGGGUCAAAGAACUCAUCAGGACUCUCGGGGUCAAGGUCGGUUCCUGAGCCACCUUGUUUGUCAGUGAAAGUAAUAUUGUCACCACCUGAAGGUCCACGGUUAUCCUUUGCCGCUGCUCGGGCUAGCUUGGCUUUACGGUUAUUCAACCUAUUGAGUGUUCACAACAGUCGUUAAAGAAACCAUGUUAUAAGCAUAAGGUAAUGGAGCUUUAUACAAAACAAGUGCCGUAAAAUAUAAUAGAAAAAAACUAAAAUAUUAUUAUCAAUGACAUCCACCAGCUUUCCAUUCUCCUUGAGCAUUCCUGUCAGCUUGAAACAUGAUUAGUCGACAAGAUUUGGGAUCCUUAUAAGGAUCAAAAGCAACAAUACCAUGAUCAUAAACAAACCAAUGAAGAGUCCUAUUAAAUCUUACAGAAGCUGCACCGGAUUAAGACAAGGAAACCUAUAAUCAAUCCAUUCCCCGGUUUCAGAUGAAUACAUGUCUAAACUGAGAUAAUUUGAGGGUGACUAGAGCUGUUCUGCUCUCACAACUGUAUAGCUAGUAACAGCAUUAUCUUCAUUAACCCUACUCACAAUACCUUCCCCAAUGAAUAUUGGGGUUUGUCUGCAUUUAUCUAUAUCUUUUGUUCCAUCUACAUAAGCAUUGGAUAUCAUUGUCCAAACUCGAACGGACCCGUUUGCCCUCUAAAAGGGCAGGUGGGUAAAUGCUGCAAAGUUUUUAACAGGUGCAUUACUGAUUGGAAGCUUAGCAAUCCGUAUUAUCCCAGGCAUGCAGAUUUCAUCACAACUGGAACCAUGUUGAUUGAAUUGUUGUCUUUUUUUAUAUUUUUCUUGGUACGGUCAUGUGCUAUUAUCGCGCUAAUAUUAGAGAUGAAUGGUCUACUAAAGAAAGUUCACUUGGUAUGUUUUAUACUCUCUAAGGCAUAAAUGAGGAAUGCAAUUGGACAAAUCCCACAAAUGUAUGUUUUUCAGUUAAAUUGAUUGAGGUUUUGUGCAUAUGUAUUUUUGAGGUUUGGUGCAUAUGUAUUUGUUUUAUACUCUUGAAAUAAUUAUUCAUUUUAAA
rnacentral:lncRNA from 1 species